rnacentral:sRNA from 1 species
AUUAUUGAUACAGUUUCUGUACUAUAUUGCUACGCGAAGCUUCCAAAUCCGCGAGUCGCGGUUAUGUUUGGUCAAUUUCUUUUGACCGGGGUCCACGGACCC